AUCUCAGUAUGGGCGCAGCCUGACCAGCGACGCCGCGUGGAGGACGAAGGGCUUCGGCUCGUAAACUCCUUUUCCCGUGGACGAGACAAGGACGGUACACGGGGAAUAAGUCUCGGCUAACUACGUGCCAGCAGCCGCGGUAAAACGUAGGAGGCGAGCGUUAUCCGGAAUCACUGGGCGUAAAGGGCGUCUAGGCGGCACGAUAAGCGAGGUGUGAAAGCUCCUGGCUCAACCAGGAGAGUGCGCUUCGGACUGUCGAGCUUGGAGGGCAGGUGAAGGGGGUGGAAUUCCCGGUGGAGUGGUGGAAUGCGUAGAGAUCGGAAGAACCA
rnacentral:rRNA from 1 species